GUGCUCACUUUGGCAGCAUGUCUAAUAAAAUUGGAACGAUACAGAGAUUAGCAUGGCGCCUUCGCAAGGAUGACACGCAAAUUCAUGAAGUGUUCCAUAUUUUU
rnacentral:snRNA from 1 species